UACGGAGGGUGCGAACGUUGUUCGGAUUCACUGGGCUUAAAGGGCGCGUAGGCGGAUGGUCAAGUCGGGGGUGAAAUCUUUCAGCUUAACUGGAAAAGUGCCUCCGAUACUGACUGUCUCGAGGGAGGUAGGGGCAUGUGGAACUUCCGGUGGAGCGGUGAAAUGCGUAGAUAUCGGAAGGAACGCCGGUGGCGAAAGCGACGUGCUGGACCUCUUCUGACGCUGAGGCGCGAAAGCUAGGGGAGCAAACGGG
rnacentral:rRNA from 1 species